CAGAAGAGAGGUGAACCUUUAGCAGCACAUCAGGAAGGAACAUCUAAUAGAGGAGGACAGCAGGAGCCUGGACUCUGGAGGAGUUGAGAACUCACUUUUACGUCUCGUAAAAGCUUUCAAAGGGCAUACACACUUGUAUGAUACCUCCAUGCGUUUACAUUUCGACAAAGAGGCUCUCGAAACAGUUGGCGCGAAAUUGCUACAUAUUUAAACUCCGAUCAAGAUACUUGCAGGAAGAAAUGGAGACUUGCGUGGGACCGUCAUGUGAGAGCACUGAAAAGGUCUAAGGAUAUGCCAGAGGGUAUACCGAGGCCUGGAAGCCUGAGUUGGCUCACCAUUUUUAUAAAACAUCGGCAAACCAACCCAAACUUUCCCGAGGUAGCUAGCUAGCGAAGAUAGUGAAAAUGUGUGGUUACAGUAAGUUACCUAGUUGCCAGACCUGUGUUAUUCACAGCCAGCCAGCUAGCUACUGCUAUCAUGACUAGUUAUGUGUGUAAUACCAUAGACUUAUAGACCAGUAAUUAUCGGUAUUAUCAAAGAAAAUUAUCUAAUAGUUCGACUGAAGAAACCACUAUUUUUGGCACUGGGUUCGCAGUUCAAAUGAGUGCAAUAUCAACCAGCAGAGUACGCACAUGCAUCAGUAUGAGAUUGCGGAGAUUAAUGUAACAUUUUCUUUUUGAAAAAUUAAAACACUGAGUCAACUGUUUAUGGCAAUCUGCUUUAUUCAGAACAUAUGACAGUGACAAUGAUUAAUUUAGUCAUAAAAUGAGAAAGUACUGUUUUAUUGUUUGCAACAGGCUAGCCUUACUGGUAAUCUUUUAAAGAUGUGCAAUUACUGCCUCUUGUUUUGUUGAUUUCCAUAGAUUUCAGCAGACAGAGUUGAGAGUCCUAAUGACAACCUGGAUCAGACUCCCUUGUUUUCAGACCAGGCAGGUCCACUGUUCCCUUUAUCAUCUUUCCGUCUCCUGGUUCCACCUCUACGCCUGAUGUCAGCUUUCAUGUGGCAAGUGGCUCAAGAGCGUAAUGUGAUGCAGUAUGGGAAGCUGGAGGAGUUUGUUACUUUUGUGACAGAGAUGGUUCCAGAGCUGCUGAGCUCCAGGCAGAGGACCCAACUCAUCCUGGGACUGAGAGCAAGGAUGGUUUUAGAGUUGUUUCGUAAUGAAAACCCACCGGACCCCCAGACCAUCCAACUUCCUUUGGACAGAAUCAAAACGUCUUCAGUACAUGCUGUGCAUGAGGAUUCACAGAGUAGAAAUGAGUUGGAGGCUUCAGAGUCUAACUUUGUGGAGCUGGUCAAAACCCUGCUCGAAGACCCUUCUGAGAAGAAGCACUUCUUCCAGGUGGUGUAACCAAUACGUUACAGCCCUCUGUAUGACACAGCACUGCAGAUACUGGUGUGGGAGUUUCUCUCCCGACUGGAGGAGCUGCUGCCUGUACCAGACCUCACAGAGAGACACAGGAGAGGAGUGCUUCUUUGAUUGAAGACCAUGGUGCUUGCCUACGAAGCAGCAAAGGGAACUGCACCUCCUUACCUUCAGGCUAUGCUCAAACCCUACACCCCAACCCGAGCACUCUGUUCUGCCACCUCUGGUCUCUUGGCCCCUCGCACCCCUACGGGAGGGCAGCUCCCACUCAGCCCAGUCAAAGCUCUUCUCUGUCCUGGCAUCCCAACUACACCCCACUAACUACAGCAUCUUGUCUCAGCCUUGCCCCCGCUGACCUGGAGGAGUUCUGGCAUUCUGUCUCUGACCCCGAGCACCUGAAGACACUGCUGCAGCAUCAUAGACAUCUGGGUCACUUGCGCAAAAAUGAAUUUUCCAACCAGGUCGCAGACAACAUCUUGUCCACAUUGUCAAUGUCGAUGGACAUGAAUGCAUGAAAGGGAGCACAGAGGGGUGGAAGAUCAACAGUGAGGAAGGAGGAGAGUUGCAUUUUGAAAAGAACUUAGAGGAUGAUGGAAGUGAAAGAAAUGAAGACACUGAGAGAGGAUUGAAGGAUAAGGAUGAUGCAAACUGGACUUCCCCUCUGAGUGAACCAGAGGACUCGGAUGAACUGGCUAGUGACAUGCCCUCCCAGGUCUUCUCCUGCCCCCAGUACCCAUUCUCCCACAGGGAAAUGGUGGACCUUCAGCAGCACAUCAGGAAGGAACAUCUAACAGAGGAGGACAGCAGGAGCCUGGACUCUGGAGGAGCUGAGAACUUACUGCCAUCCAGUGAAACUGCCAGGAGCUCCUCAGCCAAGAGCUCCUCAGCCAAGAGAAUCAAUAAGAACACCUGCAAACAGUGUGGGAAGGGUUUCAGAUGCACAACUGACCUGAAACGACACUGAAAGUGUUCACACCAGUGUGCAGCCGUUCCGUUGCAACCAGUGUAAGAAGAGAUUCAAAUCGGAGAGAUAUCUACAACUGCACAAGAAAAGUCACGAUGUAGAACCGAUGCACAGGCCUAUUUGCCAACACUGUGGCAAGAGUUACACUAGUGCAGCAGUCCUCAAAAUACACAUACGCACCCACACCGGAGAGCGGCCUUACUCCUGCUCAGUCUGUGGGAAGAAGUUCAAUCAAAAGCACACAUUAGUUAGACAUCUCCGGAUACACAGAGGAGAGAGACCAUACCUGUGUAGCGUAUGCGGGAAGGCUUUCUUUGUUUCCAGGGAACUCUUAGUGCACAUGCGUUUUCACACAGGGGAACGACCUUACCGCUGUAAACCGUGUGGAAAGGCUUUCAGCACGUCAUGCGCUCUCACGUCGCAUAAGCGAUGGCACUCAAACGAGCGCCCGUUCACCUGCUCCCUGUGUUCAAAGGGCUUUGCGGAAACUGGUGGCCUUAAAAGACACAUGUUUAUUCAUACCGAGGAGAAGCCCCAUUACUGCCACACGUGUGGGAAAGGAUUUAGUCAGUUGAGCAACAUGAGAAUACAUUUGAAAACUCAUAAAAAAAUAAUGUCAUUGGAUAUUUGUCAGACUAAUGGAAUUUUUAUGCUAGUAUAAUGUUUCACCUUGAGCUCAAAGCCAAAAGUAAGAAAAAAAUGAAAUUGUAUUAUAGGUAGUGUUCAUCGCCGUGAGAAAGUUUUCACCAUUUAUUGACUAAGUAGCCAUUCUGUUAUUUUCCCCUUGGUAAGGUGAUCGGUUGUUAAGGAACUUUGGGCACAGACUUCACAACGACGCUGAGGUUUUACUUAGUGCACUGCCAACUGUACUGUACUCUGUGAGCACAGUAGGAUUAACAUGAUAUAAGCAUGUUGUGUAGGCUGUUCUGUACCUGAAGUAAUGAAGAAAAAAAAACAUUUUGACCGCAACUAUCAAGUUGUCCUUUAAUAAUCGUUCAUGUGUUUUGGGGCAAGCUCUUGAUGUAUGUUGGAACAGAGUCCUCCCUUUUCUCCUGCAUAGUCACCUGUUCAAGUGUCCUUGUCUGAGGAAUGUUUAUUUUUAUUUUCAGUCCCUAAGUCAGGCACCUGAUUCCCUUCUGGUUCAUGCUGGGCUGAAGUGCAAUUGGGUACACUUUGUUUUCCAUUGUAGUUAGACCUGGGUUCAAAUACUAUUUAAAAUAUCUCAACUUUCACCUACAUUGUCGAAGUAAGUAUUCAGAUAUAUUUUAUUUCAGAAGACAAGUAGUUGAAUAUUUGAAAAUACUAAAAUACACUGACUCAAAUACACUCCCAUGCAUUUAACCCAGGUAUUGAAAAUAGUAUUUAAAAUAAGUGUUUGAAAAUACUCUUACUAUUUGUUUUUUUACAAAUAGCCAUUCAAAUACUCAAAUAGAAGUACUUGUUUUGUUUUUGAAAAUACUCAAAUACACCGAAAAAUGUAUUUUAAAUAACAGAUAUUGAAAUAUAUAUUUGAACCCAGGUCUGAUUGUAAUAAAAAAUCACUCAGUAAUUGUCUGUGGUGACUCAAUAAUUAGUAAAUGAAUGUGUAUGAUAUAUGUAUUAUUAUGUACAUGAUGCUACAUUUAUUAUCCAUCAUACACUUAAUAAAAACUUUAAGUGUGGGAAAGGAUUUAUCGGAUGAGCAACAUGAGACUUCGUUUGAAAACUCAUACAAAAUAAACUCAUUGGAUCUUUGUCAGACUGAGUGAUAUUUCAAAUGCAAAUCAAUUUAUAACAUUUUUUACGUGUUUUUCUUGAUUUUUUGGUUGUUAUUCUGUCUCUCACUGUUCAAAUAAACCUACCAUUAAAAUUA